rnacentral:rRNA from 1 species
GACGAACGCUGGCGGCGUGCUUAACACAUGCAAGUCGAACGGAAAGGCCCUGCUUGCAGGGUGCUCGAGUGGCGAACGGGUGAGUAACACGUGGGUGAUCUGCCCCUUACUUUGGGAUAAGCCUGGGAAACUGGGUCUAAUACUGGAUAGGACCAUGCUGUAGGUGGUGUGGUGGAAAGAUUAGUUUCGGUAAGGGAUGAGCUCGCGGCCUAUCAGCUUGUUGGUGGGGUAAUGGCCUACCAAGGCGUCGACGGGUAGCCGGCCUGAGAGGGUGGACGGCAACAUUGAGACUGCGAUGCGGGGCAGACUCCUGCGAGAGGCAGCAGUGGGGGAUAUUGCACUAUAGGCGCACGCCUGGUGCGGCGAAGCCGCGUGGAGGGUGACGGCCUUCGGGUUGUGAACUCCUUUCGGCCAUGAAGAAGCCCUUGUGGUGACGUUAGUGGUAGAAGAAGCACCGGCUAACUACGUG